UUGAUGCAAGUGAUUUGCUGUUUUUAUUUUAUUUUUGUUCAUAUUGUGAUAAGAAAUGAUGAUAAUCUAUCCAUUACAUGAUCAUUAAUCAUAUACGAGUUCAAUAAUGCCUGAUACGGCAUUAAAAUAGAAUUUUAACUGUUCAAGCUUCUCAAAUCCAUGGCUAACACUCAAACCUAAAAGCAGAUUUAGGCUUAAAAUCAAGGUUGGAGCCAAACUUCAGUGCAGUACUAUAAAAUAUCUACCUUCUUAUAUUCUUAUAAGUGUCCAAUAGACAGCUCAGGAGCCAAAUGUGUCCUGAGACUUUUGUAGUUUUAAAUAUAAUUACUUAAUACUCACAAAUAUCUUACUAAUGUGACAUUUAAAUAAAUUCAAUUUGAAAUUAUAAUUGGGAAAAUAAACUAGAACAUUAUUAAUUUAUUCAAGAAUAUAUUGGUAUUCAGGUCAUACUGUCUAUGUGGAGUCAUCAGAUGGCUAUUCAAAAGUUUACAUAUUACUCAGAGCUCAGUGGAAUCACUGCUAAUUCUCUAAUUAAAGUUUUAAAAUUUAAUGCUGAAAGCUACUGUUGGUGAAGGCCAAGAGAUUUGAUUAAAAUCAAUUUGAUUCGUUAAAUUUAUUGAAUGCAGCUCUAAAAAAUUCUUGAACUAUGUAUUUGGUGACUUCAUGAAAAGAUAGUAAAUGAUCUGAUUAAAAGCAACUUGAUAACAAAUGUAUUGGUCAAGAUAACAGUUUGAUUCAAAAAUUGGUCAAAAAUAAUGUAAAUAAAUUUUUUCUCCCAAAUAUUGGUAAUCUUGGUAAAACCAUAUUUCAUUUUAUAGUCCAUCAGUUACUAAUGCCAAGUGUAUUACUGUGUACACUUAGAAAGUUGGCCCUACUAUACAUUCUCCCAUUUUCAUAGGUUCAUAUUAUUUUUAAAAUUCAAAUAGACCACACUUUAUUACCAUGACUAAUGAGUAUUUAAUGUGGCCUACACACAUGUGGAUUUAUGACCAUGUGUUGAGGCAACAAUUAUUGAUUAGGAAAUGGAAUCUGAAGAAAGACUAAAUGGGCAUUUUAGUUAUAGAAUUCUUUUGUUUUACGAUUCUUGAAUUUGUAACAAAACAGCAAGUAACAAAAUGGUCGUUUUGGUCAUCAGAAAAUAAUUGACUUUAUUUCAGUGAUAUUUGCUGUGUUAUCAGAUUAUUGAGUUAAAGAAAAAUGUAUUCAAUUUCCUCCUUCCUCUCUCACAUGUAGAAUACAUGAUACACUAAAAAGGAUUGAUCAAAUGCUGCUGAAGGGAAAUUGAAAUGUUAGGUAGGCUGAGUACACAGGUUGUUUAAAAUGAGAUCAUUGAACUUUCUGUUGCCAUUACUAACCUGGUAAAUAAAACAAUGCAUUGUGGCAAAUGUUACUGAGGUCAAAAACAUUCUCACAUUUAAUAGAAAUAAUUAAUAUCCAUCUUCAUUAAUGUCUUUAUUUUUAAAAGUGAGAAGUAGAUGAAAUGGAUCAUCUUUUGAAGUAGUGACUUCUGUUAUUGGAAGGCAUUCAAGCAAGGACUAAAGAGUCAUUUUUUGAACACAUGGAGGAUUUAUGCACUAUCUAGAAAUUCAAACUUCCCCAAAGAAUGUUCCACAGAGCAGUAGUUACAAAGUAGGUUAAUCUAUACUGUUUUAAAAAUGUUUCUAUGGUCUAUUGAUAGGAAAAUAAAAUGUUAAAUAUUUCCCUCUAUUUUAGGACUAUUCAUAUAUUUAUAUGCUAAUAUGCAUUGUGACUCUUCACGAAGAGAAUGAAUUUUAGCUGUUUUCUAAACAUGUUUUACUUUAUUGCCAUUUAUUUAUAUCUCCUUUAUUCAUGACUACUGAUGACUACUGCUUAUUCAGUUAAAUACACAUCAGGGAACGCCAGACUAAAUGUUACAAAAAACCCUUUUCCGGCUCUGAGAUGAUUUGAAUAUAAUGCAUCUUUUCAAAGUAGAACUAAAAAUUUGAAAGGAAGAUAAAAUUAAAAUGAUAUCUAGGAACAAGUAAUGGUAGAGAACCUCCUGUUUCCUCAGUAAUAUACACUAGCUUUUUGGAAUCACAUGGCUAUAAGUUCAGCAACAUGACUUAAGAUCCAAAGUAAUACUUCUUUAAACAAGACAGAAGGUUAUUGCUUUCUCAUAAAAUUCUAGAAUGAUACUAGUGCUCUGCUGCAAGAAUUCAAGUGUGAAGAAUUCUCUCUUGUUGCUCAAGCCCCUUAGUGUGAUCUCCUCAUCUCCAUCAUCCCAGAUGGCAAAAAUGCAGGGGAAGGAGAAGGUCACCUUGGGCAAGUACUUCCAACUGCCAAAAUGGGAGGAAGAAAGAGAUCACUGAGGAUUGUACAGCAGAUUCUUAUGACCCAAGCCUGGAAGUGCAACACUUCACUUUUACCUUUAUUCUACUGGCCUGAAAUUAAUCACAUGACCCCACCAAGACACAAGGGAAGCUGGGAAAUGUAGUCUCUAUCUGGGCAGCUGCUUUCUAGCAACAACUCUCAAACAUGGAAAAGACUAUAAAUCUUUGCGAGAUAGAUAGCUAUUUCUGCCACAUUAUUUAAACUUUAUUAAUACUUGGAUGUUAUUACAGCAGUCACCUUUAAGUAAUAGAAAUCAUUGUGUAAAACAAUAAGUCUGAUCUGCCCUCAAUUGCCAGCACUGCUUUUCCUCAUAUUGUCUUCUUUAUUUAAGGCUACAUUUAAUCUCUUUAAGUGUACUUAAUAAGUGGAAAUAUCUAUACUUAAAAACACAAGAGUCAUGAUCUAAAGUUACAGAUAUUCCUUAAAAAAAAAAAA
rnacentral:lncRNA from 1 species